rnacentral:siRNA from 1 species
UGAGUUAGUUCUUCAUGUGCC